GAUGAACGCUGGCGGCGUGCCUAAUACAUGCAAGUCGAACGAGGUGCUUUUGUAGCAAUACGAAAGUAUCCUAGUGGCGAACGGGUGAGUAACGCGUUGGUGACCUACCCCAAAGUGUGGGAUAACAGUUCGAAAGAACUGCUAAUACCGCAUGUGGUUAUCGGGUUUAGAAACUGAUAACUAAAGGAGCAAUUCGCUUUGGGAGGGACCUGCGUCCCAUCAGCUAGUUGGUGAGGUAAUGGCUCACCAAGGCUACGACGGGUAGGGGACCUGAGAGGGUGGCCCCCCACAAUGGAACUGAAACAACGGUCCAUACACCUACGGGUGGCAGCAGUAGGGAAUAUUGGUUAAUGUGCGAAAGACGCGAACCAGCAACGCCGCGUGUGCGAUGAAGGCCUUCGGUCGGUAA
rnacentral:rRNA from 1 species